UGCUUAGAAGACAGGGGGGGUGCAUUGCCUUCUGGGUACUUGCACGUGAGCAUGAGCGUGCAAGCACGUGAAUAAUUUUUGGCACAGG